rnacentral:rRNA from 1 species
UACGAAGGGGACUAGCGUUGUUCGGAAUCACUGGGCGUAAAGCGCACGUAGGCGGAUAUGUCAGUCAGGGGUGAAAUCCCGGGGCUCAACCUCGGAACUGCCUUUGAUACGGCAUAUCUUGAGUCCGAUAGAGGUGGGUGGAAUUCCUAGUGUAGAGGUGAAAUUCGUAGAUAUUAGGAAGAACACCGGUGGCGAAGGCGGCCCACUGGAUCGGUACUGACGCUGAGGUGCGAAAGCGUGGGGAGCAAACAGG